CUGGCUCGAACGGCUCACGAAAGAGGGUGGAAACAUCCUUUUCCCGCAAGGGACGGGAGUCGAGGUGCUGCAUGGCUGUCGUCAGCUCGUGUCGUGAGAUGUUGGGUUAAGUCCCGCAACGAGCGCAACCCUUGUCCUGUGUUGCCAUGCCGAAAGGCGGAACUCGCAGGAGACCGCCAGCGAUAAGCUGGAGGAAGGUGGGGAUGACGUCAAGUCCUCAUGGCCUUUAUGUCCAGGGCUACACACGUGCUACAAUGGACGGUACAAAGCGCUGCCAACCCGCAAGGGGGAGCCAAUCGCAAAAAACCGUUCUCAGUUCGGAUUGCAGGCUGCAACUCGCCUGCAUGAAGCUGGAAUCGCUAGUAAUGCCGUAUCAGAACGAUGGCGUGAAUACGUUCCC
rnacentral:rRNA from 1 species